UCCCUGGUGGUCCAGUGGCUAGGACCCUGCACUCCCAAAGCGGCGGUCCUGGGUUCAAUCCCUUGUUAGGGAA
rnacentral:tRNA from 1 species